UGUCACUUAGAUCAGUGAACUUGAAAAUUGCACGUUUAGAUAUGUGAACUUGGUUUAAUGUAUCACCCCUAGUCCAAUCGUCCUUUGAUUGCAUUCGGCCGCUAAUGUGGCACACCACACAGAUAACCCUUUUGCGUCUCAGCCCCCUCCACAUAUACCUUCUCAAGCCUGGCCGUUAGGGUUUCGACGGUGGAGUUAGUGGCAGGAGGCGGUGAGGUAGCGGUUGUGGCGGCCUUGGCGGCGAGAUUAGUGGCAAGAGACGGUGCCGUGUGGCGAGGUUAGCGGUGGCGUGACGUGUAGAGGGGACCAAGGGCAAAAGUGUUACUUGCGUGACGUGUCACGUUGACGGUCAAACGUGGUCAAAAGGCAAUUGAAAGGGAUGGUACAUUAAACCAAGUUCAUGAAUCUUGACAUGUAAUUUUUAAGUUUAGGGAUCUAAGUAACACCGCCCUACAAGUUUAAGAACUGGACAUAUAUUUUACUCUAAAUAAAAUAACUAAAAGAUGAUAAUUUAAAGUUCACGUAAGAAAGAAACUUUCUAGAUCUUUGAGCAAAGCUAUACGUCCAUUAAGGAACGUUAUGAGAUGAGAUCUACAUAAUGGUUGUGCUUUUCAUGAUGUAACAUUUUCUCGGAUUCAGUCAACUUUGUUGCACGGUGUAAAGCAUCAACCAGAUCAACACUCCAAGAAUUUACCCUGAAAGAACCACUAAAAGACGGGAAACUCAUACAUAAUUAGUGGGCUUGUGAUGGCAGUUUGUGUCACUCCUCUGGCAUUAUCCAACUCAUCAUUUUUUAUAUGGUAUCACAUUCAUAACAUCCCUCGCAACAUUUACAAUAACAAUCAGAUACAUAAUAAAAUGCAGUAUUUUCAUUAAAACAAUAUAUGAUGGUCAAUAAGGACGAGGCUUGUAAUCUACUUUCAUUGCUUCCUCUUGACUUCCACUGUGUUUCUUUCUGGAUUGACAAUUUGUACAAGGACAACCUCUGAUAUUUGGAUUCCUAUCUGAGAAGUAUCUCCAACCUAAGCAGUUCAAAACCAAAACAUGCAUAGUGCUUGGACUUGAUUAAGGUAACAAAUCUGAUAUGAUCCUGUUCGACAGGGCAUUCAUCAUUUGAUCCUGUACACUUACAAUAUCAUGUCAAUAGAUAUUUCUAAAAUGACCAGCAGACAAUUGCAAGCUUAUAAGCUUGAACAAAAUUUUUAUAACUUCCAUAACCAAUAAAUAGAUUACCAGGGGUUUUUCAUCAGCAAGCGAUACAAUCUUUGGAUGUUAACCAGAAACCAGUCCAUUAUCCAAAGUCUAACCUUUAUUUUUUAUGCAACAUAACAAAAAGAGUAUAAGAUAUUAGUCCUUGUACAA
rnacentral:lncRNA from 1 species